rnacentral:sRNA from 1 species
ACCUUCCAGGUUGCAGCCUGAAUUAGGCUGAUGGCUGGUGGCUUUUUGGUCACCAGCCU